CAGUAUUCUCACACACACAUGGACUGACGGAGCCAGUAUUUGGGAUUACACUCUUGGACAAGCUGAUCCCUUUGAUGUGGUAACAGAGUGCUUGCAUGUUAAAAUAUGAAGAGAUGAGCUGAGGAGAAGAAUAGGGGGAUUGUGUAAACAAGAGACCCUCUGCGUCAAAGGCUUAAUCAGAGCAAAAAUUAGUGUAAUAAAGGAACAGCAUGAACUUUCCUGGUUUCCCUCAUGCUAAUGAAUAGUAACAACUCUGUCAAUAUCUAAAAUUACUGUAUAUGUCUCCCUUAGAGCAAAAUAAUAAAUAGCUAAAACACACACAAAUGCAAUUAGGAAAGAAUCCAACAAGUAUUAAAAUAGUUGCAGGCAUGAAAUGACACUAUAUUUACUGAAUCAAACAGUCAUUGGUGAUGAAUGUCUUGUCAUCAAAAUUCGCAUAUAACAGUACCAGUUUUCAUUUUUAUAAAAUUUAAUUUAAAAUUUAAGAAGCUCGGCUGAAUGUUAAUAAGUUUAUGCAUUUUAAUGUGGGACAGACAAUUGCUUCUUAAGAUUUCUGCACUUAUUCCAAGUCUUCUGAAACCAUUCAAUGCCUUAUAGUGUGAGAAGACUGACAAUCAUUCAUUUAAUUUAGCUUCUUAUCAGCAGUGAUGAAUGUGCAUUUAAAUUGUUUCAAAAUCUUUUGAUUUAUGUCUUUUUUCAUUGUUAAUUAGUUCACAAACCAUCAAAAUGAUUCUUACUGCACUGGUUCUCAAGUUCUCAAGCUCAUGGUCCAGUUGCAGCAGUUCACAGCUCACUGGAGGGGAUGAUUAUCAGUGAAUGGCAAUAAACCUACAUUCUAGUCUGUUCCUCACACAAAUCUAUCAUAAGACUUCAGAUGAAUUUAAAUAUACUGCUUUGUGUUGUUUCAUCUUGAUGGUCCCCAUUUAUUGUAAUUGCAUUGAAGCAAUCAGCACAGAAGUUCUCACUUUGUAAUGAUAAAGUCCUGCAUGUUGGAAACCGCAUGAGGGCAAGUAAAUGAAGAAAGAAUUUUCCCUUUAAUUAGGUUUCAUUAAUGAUACAGUCCAUAUAACACUCGAGAGCUAUUAAGCUAAACAAAUUUUGGUAUUGAAUGGGUUUGAGCAUGAGCAAUUAAUGCAGUUUUAUAAAUAGAAUAGAAAAAGAGGUGGAACUGGUGUGGUGGAGAGAUGCUGGAUGAGUUAAUGAGAACAGUGAGGUAAAUAUAUGCUCAUGUAUAUUUAAAAGAAACUUAAUUUCUUUUAGUAUUCUCAAGAAUGUUGACAUAAAAGUGUUUGUGUAUAAGUUUGUGUGAUUAUAUGCACUUUACUUAAAAGCCAAAACCAGCAGAUUCUCAGUGUUAAUGAGCUUCAAAACAGUCUGUCCUCACAUCAUCUCUUUGCUUAAAGUAUACUGCUCAGAAAAGCACACCAUUACUGUGUCCAUUAUCCAUUAUCCAUUAGUCAAAUCACAAAUUUCCAUUACUCAGAUCUCGCUCUUUGUGUGUGUGUGUGUGUUUGGGAGGCUGAAAGUACAGCCUCCUUUAGAUUUUAAAAUACAAUUACC
ensembl:lncRNA